AGUGCGCAGCUACCAUGCAAGUCGAGCGGUAGCACAGAGAGCUUGCUCUCGGGUGACGAGCGGCGGACGGGUGAGUAAUGUCUGGGAAACUGCCUGAUGGAGGGGGAUAACUACUGGAAACGGUAGCUAAUACCGCAUAACGUCGCAAGACCAAAGUGGGGGACCUUCGGGCCUCAUGCCAUCAGAUGUGCCCAGAUGGGAUUAGCUAGUAGGUGGGGUAACGGCUCACCUAGGCGACGAUCCCUAGCUGGUCUGAGAGGAUGACCAGCCACACUGGAACUGAGACACGGUCCAGACUCCUACGGAAGGCAGCAGUGGGGAAUAUUGCACAAUGGGCGCAAGCCUGAUGCAGCCAUGCCGCGUGUGUUGAAGAAGGCCUUCGGGUUGUAAAGCACUUUCAGCGGGGAGGAAAGCGUUAAGGGUAAUAACCUCAUCGAUUGACGUUACCCGCAGAAGAAGCACCGGCUAACUCCGUGCCAGCAGCCGCGGUAAUACGGAGGGUGCAAGCGUUAAUCGGAAUUACUGGGCGUAAAGCGCACGCAGGCGGUCUGUCAAGUCGGAUGUGAAAUCCCCGGGCUCAACCUGGGAACUGCAUUCGAAACUGGCAGGCUAGAGUCUUGUAGAGGGGGGUAGAAUUUCCAGGUGUAGCGGUGAAAUGCGUAGAGAUCUGGAGGAAUACCGGUGGCGAAGGCGGCCCCCUGGACAAAGACUGACGCUCAGGUGCGAAAGCGUGGGGAGCAAACAGGAUUAGAUACCCUGGUAGUCCACGCCGUAAACGAUGUCGAUUUGGAGGUUGUGCCCUUGAGGCGUGGCUUCCGGAGCUAACGCGUUAAAUCGACCGCCUGGGGAGUACGGCCGCAAGGUUAAAACUCAAAUGAAUUGACGGGGGCCCGCACAAGCGGUGGAGCAUGUGGUUUAAUUCGAUGCAACGCGAAGAACCUUACCUGGUCUUGACAUCCACAGAACUUACCAGAGAUGCAUUGGUGCCUUCGGGAACUGUGAGACAGGUGCUGCAUGGCUGUCGUCAGCUCGUGUUGUGAAAUGUUGGGUUAAGUCCCGCAACGAGCGCAACCCUUAUCCUUUGUUGCCAGCGGUUCGGCCGGGAACUCAAAGGAAACUGCCAGUGAUAAACUGGAGGAAGGUGGGGAUGACGUCAAGUCAUCAUGGCCCUUACGACCAGGGCUACACACGUGCUACAAUGGCAUAUACAAAGAGAAGCGACCUCGCGAGAGCAAGCGGACCUCAUAAAGUAUGUCGUAGUCCGGAUUGGAGUCUGCAACUCGACUCCAUGAAGUCGGAAUCGCUAGUAAUCGUAGAUCAGAAUGCUACGGUGAAUACGUUCCCGGGCCUUGUACACACCGCCCGUCACACCAUGGGAGUGGGUUGCAAAAGAAGUAGGUAGCUUAACCUUCGGGAGGGCGCUACCACUUGGAUCAUUCGC
rnacentral:rRNA from 1 species